rnacentral:lncRNA from 12 species
UUCCUUUCUUCUUAUGCCUUUAGACAGAUGUACAAACUGCUUUGAAACCAACCAUACUGGAAUUAAUAGUUUCUUCAAGCCAUUACAGACUCGAUUUUUUUUUUGACAUUUCUUCUCUUAGAGACCACUUUAAGAGAUUUAACUUUGAAGCCUUUGUCCCUUUGAAUGUUAUUGUCUUCAGCAGCAAUUUGUAACUCCCAGCAUUCCCUUUCUACUGCAAAUAUGAAUCAGAAAAAUCCACUCCCUGUGUUAGAAGGUGCUAUUUCAAAC